rnacentral:rRNA from 1 species
GGUGAACGCUGGCGGCGUGCUUAAGACAUGCAAGUCGAACGCAGUCUUCGGACUGAGUGGCGCACGGGUGAGUAACACGUAACUGACCUACCCCCAAGUCGCGGAUAACUGGCCGAAAGGUCAGCUAAUACGUGAUGUGAUGUCCCCUUUCUGGGGGGCCAUUAAAGGUUUACUGCUUGGGGAUGGGGUUGCGUUCCAUCAGCUAGUUGGCGGGGUAAAGGCCCACCAAGGCAACGACGGAUAGCCGGCCUGAGAGGGUGGCCGGCCACAGGGGCACUGAGACACGGGUCCCACUCCUACGGGAGGCAGCAGUUAGGAAUCUUCCACAGUGGGCGAAAGCCUGAUGGAGCGACGCCGCGUGAGGGAUGAAGGUUCUCGGAUCGUAAACCUCUGAAUCAGGGACGAAAGACGCGUAAGCGGGAUGACGGUACCUGAGCAAUAGCACCGGCUAACUCCGUGCCAGCCGCCGCAGUAA